GCCCACAUCGCAUAGCGGUAUUGCAAUUGGUUGCUAACCAAUGCCCUUCGGGGCUGCCAGGUUCGACUCCUGGUGUGGGCG
rnacentral:tRNA from 1 species